AUUGUGCCUGCCUCACCUCCCCACUCUCCCCGGCUAAUUACCAGAAACAUUUAUCGAGUGCCUAUGGCAUGUCAGGCACAGUUCAAGUUCUGAGGAUACAGAGUAAACAACAGGCAACAUCACGCCUCCUCGAGCUUCUGUUCUACUGGGAGUCAGGGUAGGAAGAGACGACAACAAGGUAAAUAAGUCAAAUCCGGACUGUGUUACUGACAAUGCAAGCUAGGAGAAAAAAGGAAGCAGGAGCAGAGAGGAGCCUGGGUGAUGAUGGAGAUGGGGAGUUUACUUAAAUAGGUGGCCAUGAGGCUAUCCAGCCUGUCCCAGGCGGACUUUUAGAAGACGGAUUGUUUAUAAGAGCCCAAAAGUAUAAGUUCUUAAAAAAAAUUAAUUUCUGAAUGUGUGAUGAGAACACAAAUUCCUCCACGACAGCCCUGUUUUUCCUGUGCUGCGUAGCUGAGCUCUGGGUCACGGCUGCCGAGUGCAGGCAACACUCGGGCAGUCCCAGGGCUGACCGACUGCGCAUCUGGACACUGGCAAUCACAGGGAAGGAGGCGAGAGCUCUGCCGGGUGCUUUGAGGCUGUCGCGUCAUGUCUUCCUCCCCACAGCGUUCUGCGGGGCCUGUCCCCUUGGUGUUGUGGCACCUCCUGGUCCUCGGCUCUGCUCUUGGGGAAGAAAGAGGACACUGUCACAGGUUCCUGUCCCCUCCAGCCAACAGGAGCAGCCACACGUGGCAUCUGCCCUCGAAGCUCUGUGGCAUCCCUGCCGUAGGAGAAGUUACCAAGAAACCCCCAGAGCCCACAGGCUGGAGCCCCCCCAGGUUCUGCUCAGCGGGGAGAGGCAGAUUGAGUCCAAAUUUUCCAUUUUAACUGGAAUCCUAGGGGUUAAACCUGGCUGUGACUUGGCAAUGGCCCCUUGUCCGUGCUGUUCCACAGGGGGUGUCCCCCUUCCCCAGGCCCUGCCCCAAUGUGGCUCCAGGGCCUCUGCUCCCAGCAGGUCUCACCUGGGACAGAGGUGGGGGUGGGGCAAGAGGAACCAAGCCAGGAAGCUGCAGAAAUAGCUCUGGGGGUGGGAGGGCGUGGUGCUGCCGAAGGCCGAACACCCACGCAGGGUGUUGUCUCUCCACCCUCCCAGGCCGAGGGGAUUUCUCAAACGCAGGCCUCCUUCCCAGGAGGUAGGCCUGUGUCCAGUGAGGGCCCUGCCCAUCCAGGCCUCUGUUUCCUGUCACUGUUCUCAAAAGCUGGGCCCAGCUGUGGCGGGGACAGCUAUGUCCGGCUGCCCGUGGUCCCUUGAGAACCGGCCAGGCUGCCCCUGUGCCUGGCACAUGCUCACCUGGACCCUCCAGCCAGCAUCUGGGCUCCAUCUGACCCCACCCCACAGGGCUCAAGCCAGCUCCAAGCAUGAGUGUGGCCGAGGCCAGGUCUGUCUUCAGGGUCCCUUCCUCAUCUCCACGGCCUUUUCCUGUCCCAGCUCACCCACAGGGGGCCAUUUCUGCCCCACACAGGACUCCCUGUGAACCAAGGCUGCACAUGCUUCUGGGUGCCCCUCUCUGGGCAGCUGGAGGGCAGAAGGAGCACCUGGCAGGUGGGUCCCAGGCCCGGCAGCAGGAGCUGCCUGCCAGACAGGACCAGAGGGGAUGGCAGUCCGCUCGGGUGAGGGGUCCACAGGCAGAGGGCGUGGGGGGCUAGGAGGUCUGGGGGCCUCUGGGGAAAGGGGGCCCCAGAAACCAAUGGGAAUUAUGGGAUCUCCUCAAAGAACAUGCUGGAGCAAGGCUCAGCUGCCCACUGCUGCCCCAAAAAGGCUCAGCUGCCCACUGCUGCCCCAACGGGAGUCACUGCUCACACAGAGACCGCUCCUUCCCCAGCCACUCCAGCCAGUGACUGGAUACGGUGCAGGCACUAGUCCCUAGAACCAGGCCAUUCCUGACCCACCAACUGCCCUGUAUGCAGGCCUCUCUCUGGGGCUUCUCAUCAGCCUAGCAGCACGGCUUUCUCAGGGCUUCCCUGGGUACGCACGUCCUCCUACCCAAUCCCCCUUCCCUCUCUCCCUGUCCCAGGUUCAGACCUGCAUCCUGGCUCGAGGCUGUCUCCCCAUCUGCCACAGGUGCUUCCCCCAACGGAUCUCUUGCCCCUCUCCUCCUGGCUUGGGGUCUGCUCACUGGAGGACCUGGAUGGACAUGACAGGGCUCAGACAGGACUUGGGAGGAGCUGUGAGCUCGCCAUCAGGGCCAGCCUUGAAGGACGGGUGUGGGCGUGUCCCCCAUCAGGAUCCCGCUGUGGGUCUCCUUCCUGCUGUGGGGGCUGAUGAAAGAUGCAGGCCAGACACCUGCACAUCUUUACCCUGUGCUCAGCAGCACCCCCUGACAGGGCACCCUCCCCACUACAUCCCCAUUCCAUUCCAAAGGAAGAGACCCUGAGGGUCUGGAAUGAAGAACCCCUUACCCCAGGUCAAACUGAUGUUGCUGGAAUCUUUGGUUGGGUCUCGACAUUACCCCAUAUGGGCAACAGAGAAGGACUGCCGAGAGCUGGGCAAGGCCCCAUGCCUGCUCCUCCUGCUUGUGCUCUCUAGAUCAGAGACCCUCCCAACCUCUCCCGUAGGGGCCUGACUCCUCCCUGGUAUGUCACCUUUGCUUGAUCUAGGCCUCUGGAGGGGCGGCAGCCUGUCUCCCCGCACCAGCUGGGGUUCUGGCCCUGGUGGUUGCUCACCACACCUCCGGGGGCUGCCACGCGGGGUCAUGUUGGUACCAAGGUUCUCUGUGGGGUGCAGGGAUGACCACUGGAGAAAAGGCCAGCCCUGCCUUCCGCUGCUGCCUCAGGCUGGUCCCCGUGCCUCGCUCAGGCGGGCCAGUGACCCUCCUCACCAGCCAUGGCUUCUCUUGUGACAGGCCCAACGGCAGGCCAGGUCCUGAACCCCGCAGGGAGGCCGGCCUAUCAGGUCUUCACAUGGCUGGGGGCACAGCCAGCCACCAGCAUCCUUGUGCUGUCCCCAUGGGGAAGAGAAGGGAACGAUGUGUUCAUAGACGCCAGGGCAAGUGGGCACGGGCAGCGCACGGAGGAAAAAGUGACUCCAAUCAGAAGGGGAGUGGGUCUUGGCAAUACACGUCUGGGUGGUCAGUCCCCAGAGGUGGGCACUGGGCUGAGCUCUCUCUCAUCCGACGCCACCCCUGGGUGACCUCCGUUACAUUUCCUAACCUCUUUGUGUGCCAAUCGCCUCGUCUGGAAAAAUGGGAAUGGAGGAGAGUUGUACCUACCCAGGGUGGUUCUGUGGGCAUUUAAAGAGCAACUUCAUGUGAGACGUGGAGUCCAUGUGUGGCCCAUGGUGGGCUCCAGGAAAUGUUGGUGAUGACAGGGAUGAGGGAGCAACUGAGAGCCGGCAGUGAGGUGACACACCCAAGGUCACGCCACCAGCAGAGGUAGCUGGUCACGCUGCUGAGAGCCGGCAGGAAAUAGAUGCGGACAAAGCAGGGUCGGUUUUCAGCUUCUCUCCACGGAAAGGCCGGCUGAAGUUUCCCUCACCACGCAGAAAUCGAUAAGCAGGAGGUUUUUAAAAACCACCUCCCCAUUGAACCUGCCACUGCCGGAGCUGAAGGCUGUGCGUUUUGUGGUCCGCUCUGCCCCAGGGCCACUUAGGGUGCGUCCACGCUGGGUGUGCCAGGCAUGCACGUGGGCUGCAGACGCCCAGGAGGCAGAGCCGAGCCUGCCAAGGUUAUGCGUGCACCUCUCAGCUCCCUGCUUAACACUGCGUUCCCGGGAGAGAGAUUUCUCCCUGGCUGCUUCACAUCCAGAGGAGAACAUCAGCUCUCAGCAGAACAUAAGGCAAGUGUGAAAACAACUUUUUAUCUUUUAAAAUUUUUGUUUAUAUUUAUGUAUUUAUUUUUUGAAAUGGAGUUUCGCUCCUGCUGCCCAGGCGGGAGUGCAAUGGCGCCAUCUCAGCUCACCACAACCUCUGCCUCUCAGGUUCAAGCAAUUCUCCUGCCUCAGCCUCCCGAGUAGCUGGGAUUACAGGCAUGCACCACCACACCCGGCUACUUUUGUAGCUUUAGUAGAGACAGGGUUUCUCCAUGUUGAGGCUGGUCUCGAACUCCUGGCCUCAGGUGAUCCGCCCGCCUCAGCCUCCCAAAGUGCUGGGAUUACAGGUGUGAGCCACUGCACCCGGUGAAAACAGCUUUUUAUGCCAACUGGGGCUCACUUCCAGGGGAGGCCUUUCCUGGAGGCCCCCAUUCACUGCAAUUCCUCAGCCUGGCUUGGAGUCAUACCAUCCCUCCUAUCAAGAAACAUUGCAUCUGCAGCGAUCCCCCAGAGUGAGUGGCUGGGGGGCUGCGGGAGGAGCAGGGGAGGUGCUGGAACACGUCAGGUCAUCAGCAGUGUUGCUGAAAAGCUUGGCCAGGAAACCCAGAUCAGCCACCAAGAACCUGAGGGCCAGCACAUGGGAAGAAGAAAAAUAAGGUGGUUUUUCUGGGAUUUUUGGGAAUAUUUGGGCCUCGACCCUGCCAGGAUAGGUUAGGUGGUGCAAUGGUCACAAGCCCCAAGUCUUUGUGGCUGAUAGCAACAGAAGCUUCUUUCUUGCCCACAGUAAGCAUCCGUCGUGGUUGGCAGGAGACUGAUCGUGGUCAUCUAUCCAGGACUGGGUUGACAGGAAGCCACCAUCUUAGACUGUCAGCUUCCAUUUCAGAGGGAAGGAGCCCUGUGGACGUUCUCACACCAGCAUUCAGAAGCUCUUGCUGGGAAGUGUCACAAGUCACCUGUGCUCCCUGGCUAGGAGUAGUCCGUUGGCCACCCAAACACCUGGGGGCUGGCCAGGAAGGCAGUCACACAGGGGCCCACCAUGGGUCUGCCCAGUUCUCAGGCACCAGACCACACCCAAGCAGGACCCCUCCUCCCCUGCUUCCCCCUCCUGUCCCCACCAAAGCCACAUGGCAGGCAGAUCACAUGUCACAGAGCUCAGGGCCAGGCCUGCCCAGAUCCUGAGGCUGGGCCACCCCUGAGAGCUUCCUAUGUGAGAUGUCCACUUUUUUACAUUUAAAUUUUACUUUUAAAAUUCUAAAUUGAUAAAUUACAGUUGUAUGUAUUUAUGGGUACAAAGUGAUGUGAUGACUGAUGAAUACAACGUAGAAAAUUAAAUCAAGUAAUUAACAUAUCCAUCCCCUCACAUACUCAUCACUUGUUGUGGUAAG
rnacentral:lncRNA from 1 species